GUAAGGAAUAUUGCUCAAUGGGAGAAAUCCUGAAGCAGCAACGCCGCGUGGAGGAUGAAGGGUCUAUGACUUGUAAACUCCUGUAAAGAAGGAAAAAAUUCCCAUUUGAUGGGAGAUGAUGGUACUUCUGGAGUAAGCCCCGGCUAACUACGUGCCAGCAGCCGCGGUAAUACGUAGGGGGCAAGCGUUGUCCGGAUUUACUGGGUGUAAAGGGUGCUCAGGCGGAUUUGUAAGUCAGAGGUGAAAUCUUACAGCUUAACUGUGAAACUGCCUUUGAUACUGCAAGGCUAGAGUAUGGAAGAGAGUGAUGGAAUAUCUGGUGUAGCAGUGAAAUGCGUAGAUAUCAGAUAGAACACCAAUGGCGAAGGCAGUCACUUGGUCCAUUACUGACGCUAAAGCACGAAAGCGUGGGUAGCAAACA
rnacentral:rRNA from 1 species